CCCGCUGAACUUAAGCAUAUCAAUAAGCGGAGGAAAAGAAACUAACAAGGAUUCCCCUAGUAACUGCGAGUGAAGCGGGAAGAGCUCAAAUUUAAAAUCUGGCGUGCCUCUGGCCGUCCGAGUUGUAGUCUGGAGAAGCGUCUAUCCGCGUCGGACCGUGUACAAGUCUUCUGGAAGGGAGCGUCGUAGAGGGUGAGAAUCCCGUCUUUGACACGGACAACCGAUGCUUUUGUGAUGCGCUCUCGAAGAGUCGAGUUGUUUGGGAAUGCAGCUCAAAAUGGGUGGUAAAUUCCAUCUAAAGCUAAAUAUUGGCGAGAGACCGAUAGCGAACAAGUACCGUGAGGGAAAGAUGAAAAGCACUUUGGAAAGAGAGUUAAACAGUACGUGAAAUUGUUGAAAGGGAAACGUUUGAAGUCAGUCGCGUCGGCCGAGACUCAACCUUGCGCUCGCGCUCGGUGCACUUCUCGGUUGACGGGUCAGCAUCAAUUUCGACCGCCGGACAAAGGUUGGGGGAAUGUGGCAUCCUUCGGGAUGUGUUAUAGCCCUUGAUUCACAUACGGCGAUUGGGAUUGAGGAACUCGGCGCCUCGCGCGUCCAGGAUGCUGGCAUAAUGGCUUUAAGCGACCCGUCUUGAAACACGG
rnacentral:rRNA from 1 species